CAGCCGCCACGGUAAUACGAAGGGUGCAAGCGUUAAUCGGAAUUACUGGGCGUAAAGCGCGCGUAGGUGGUUUGGUAAGAUGGAUGUGAAAUCCCCGGGCUCAACCUGGGAACUGCAUCCAUAACUGCCUGACUAGAGUACGGUAGAGGGUGGUGGAAUUUCCUGUGUAGCGGUGAAAUGCGUAGAUAUAGGAAGGAACACCAGUGGCGAAGGCGACCACCUGGACUGAUACUGACACUGAGGUGCGAAAGCGUGGGGAGCAAACAGGAUUAGAUACCCGUGUAGUCCCUGUCUCUUAUAC
rnacentral:rRNA from 1 species